rnacentral:rRNA from 1 species
GGCCUUUUGAUUUUAAUUUAAGGUCUGGCCUGCUCAAUGAAAAUUUAAAUAGCCGCAGUAUUUUAACUGUGCAAAGGUAGCAUAAUCAAUAGUUUUUUAAUUGAAAACUGGAAUGAAAGGUUGAAUAAAAAAAAAUCUGUCUCUUUUAAAAAUAUUGAAUUUUAUUUUUAAGUUAAAAAGCUUAAAUGUUUAUUAAAGACGAGAAGACCCUAUAGAGUUUAAUUUUUAUUAUUAAUUGAUUAAAAGAAUUUAAGAUUAAUUUUAUUUAAAAAUUUAAUUGGGGUGAUUGGAAAAUUUAAUUAACUUUUUUUUAUUUUUACAUUAAUUUAUGAUUUAUUGAUCCAUAAAAAUGAUUAUAAGAAAAAAUUACCUUAGGGAUAACAGCGUUAUUUUUUUUAAGAGUUCUAAUCGAAAAAAAAGAUUGCGACCUCGAUGUUGGAUUAAAAUUUAAUUUUGGUGUAGAAGCUAAAAAUUUAAGUCUGUUCGACUUUUAAAAUUUUACA